UCCGGUUCACUGACGUUCACUUAUCACCGGAUCCAGCUCGUGUCCUCGUCCCACCCCGACUCUUCCCUCCGGUCCCGGUCCCGGUCCCGGUCCCGGGCCGGAGUCCGUCCGUCCGCUGCUCGUCUUCCGGGAACCGCAGCUGACAGACCUGAUGGGCUUCGUCCUGAUCUGCAAUGUACAUGAUGUGCAAUAUGAAGAUGGUCUGCUGCCACCUAGUGGGAAAGGCGAUGCAACUGCACCUCUAUUUCACUAUUCCUUGUGCAGCUUGAAGAAGGAUCUAUUCAGAUGAAUGAAGACGCGGCUGCACGGCUCAGUUCACUGCAGACCGAGGAUCCGUCCGACUGCCCCUCAUUAAAACACCACCAGUGUCAGCAUCCAUUGAUGUAGAAGUCCCACCGCUCCGGCGCCGCUCGCUCACGUGCUCGGAUCAAUGUACGCCGGGCUAUAAAUAGCUCUGCUCGUGUGUUGGAUUUCCCUGGCAGUGAGCUAAAAAUAGAGCCGGGGGUGGCGAGGGGGGGCGAGAGGGACCCCAGAGGAAUAAGACCAACACAGCCAGGAAGAGGAGGAUGCUUCACUGUACCUAACAUUCCUCCUCACUGCUGAGUUCGACUGUGGCUACUGCAAGAAUCUCACGUCACGUUGAGAACACAGAGGAAGUCGACGUUGAGAUCGGGGCUACUGCUAAAUUUAAUUCAGCCUUUCCCUAAUUGUGGCCAGUUUUUGUUUGUAUCAAUUCCUUUGUGUCCAUAAAAUGUCAGAAAAUGAUUGUGAAAUUAAAUACCCACCACAAAUUACCACAAUGUAGGGUAUCACAUUCACCUCCACCGUUUUCUUCAGUUUUCAAAGUGAUAUGAAAUAAUACAAUUUGCAGCCAGAACCUGUGACGAUUUGUCAAUGGACUGAACGACUGCCACUUGGGCGUCUUCCUUUGGAGGAGACCUGAGGUUUGGACCCGUGAUGUCGGCCUUACACUGUCGUAGACAAAUUUCCAUUGUCGGUAUGAAAUCAUGAGAGUUUUGCUCGAGUUGAGGCGCGACGCUCCCGUCAUCUGGAUGUGGUGAUCUGAGCUGUAGUCUUUUUCUCGUCUUGUCCUUCCGAUAGAAUCAACCGUGUUUGAUAUUAUCGUACGUUUUAAGUCUUCGCUCACGCAGAUGCGGACGUGAACAUUGUCUACAACCGAUAGGUGAGCUCUUUCCAGAACCAAACAGGAAGCAGAAAAGCGCGUAGGGGUCCGGGAAUACAUGCUGCAACAUGGCGUGGAGACUCCGGGGAAGCCUCGAAUGCUGCGGUUUCUUAACUACCUGGUUGCGUGAACGGGGACAGAGCAUUGGAUGGACCCAACUGGUGAGACUCUAGUUCGAGGCCCAGACUCGAUCUCGAAGAAUCCAACGGGCAGUGAUUUGGAAAACUCGCAGGUCAGGUAACAAAUCUUUAAAGUAUUUUGUGGGUCACAGUUGGGAUACAUUUGGUUUGAAAGAGAAUGAGGGUUUUGGUUUCUUAGACGUCUAGAUUAAAUUUGGUCAGAAACCAGUUGAUCAGACGCCAACAUGUUUAGUGUCUUUUGCUCAUGUAACAUUUCAGAUUUUAUCAGAAUCGGAUCAAUUGACCUAUUGAUAAUGAAAAAAAGCCAUUCCCCUUGAGCUAGCACAGAAUCCUCUUCUGAACUCUACCCUUUGUGUAAUCAUCGAUUAUCGCUUUGUCUUUUUAAAAUAGACUGCUGCCUCUCUGAAGGGAUAUUAGUAUUGAUUCAGUGAUAUUUACUGAUGCCAUCAGCUGAGCACUUUUCUUUUUAACUGUGCAAUACAAAAGGCCCGAGGAAAAGUAAUAAGGCAGCGUUUUACAUUAUCAGAGCCUUCGCUGCGGCGCUGGAUAUGAAAUAAGUAUUGGGGCAAUAAGUGCUCUCAGUGCUAUUUCAGAAAACAAUACAACAAGGGAUGUGUUGUCUUUGGAUGUGCAGCACUUUUUCUUCAAUCACAUUUUCAAUUGCAUUCGUGUGCAAGCGUCUAUACAACAAUACUUUACCACAAUUUCUCUCUGCAAAUUGAACACAAUUGACAAAAUGUCAUGUAAACCAAAAGACUUGCAACAGUUUAUUGUGUAAUGUAUCAACACGAGUCUCAUACUGCUGCACAAACGUUGCUUACUAUGCAAUUGUUCCUGAUGAGAUCAGCAGCCUGCACCAACGCCGAUGUUUUCGAGGGUUUAUAAGAAUGAAAAACAAAAUCAUUAUUGUUCUGGUCGAUUUGUAAAAGUCACAACAUACUUUGCCGUUCAUUGUGAUGGCAAAACGAAACGUACCUGCAUUAAGAGACGGUCGAUUUGUUCCGUCUGUGGAAACUUUGAUAAUUCUCAGUUCUCCUUGAUUAUGUGUAGUUGUUUUUUUUUUCAUAAAAAACGUGUGUUAAAGUCCCCAACAUUUGGUUGCAACAGCUACUGCUUACACUUCUUUAUUUGACUCCCAGUUUGAACAACUGCUUACAGAUUAAGGUUGGGUGCUGCAUUUAUAUACUUUGUCAAGCCGGUGAGAAAUGUUCUGUGAUUCUGUUGACGUACUUUUGGAUUUGGAGCAGCUGUGAAACCGUCAAAGUGCAGCAAAGUCUGAUGGCUGCAUCUUUCCCCCCCUGAUCUCUGUGGCAACAGAAGGCAAUUUGACUGAGGACCAGUUGGUCUGACUCGGGAAUAACCAGUUAAAUAGGCCAUGUGCUCCCUCGCUAUUACUGUGUUUGUGAUUAUGAGUCACACUUUACUCCAUAAAUGGCAGGAGGUUCCUCAGCCCUCUGCUCUUCUGGACCUCGUUAGAAGUGUUUGCACUAGCAAGCCGAGUUGCACUUGACAUUCAAAUGUGUUUGUGCUCUCCACCGCGACGAAGCACAAAGUAGAUACGAUGCACGCUUUAGAUAUGAUGUCCAGAAUU